UUCUCUUGUGCCCCACCCCCAGAACCAGGAGGGGACACUACCUUCUACUGUAGGAGUGUGAUGAUGUCAUAACAUUCUACGAGGGGAAAUCCGAGGAAAUCCGAUCACGACACACGUCCAUGGCAAGUGACUAUGUGGGUCACUCCCUUAAGCCAAGGUCUCAUCUGGUUUGAAAUUGGAGGUAGUAAUAUCACUGAACAAGUAACCAAGAAUUUGUUUUUAAACAUCAAAAUGAUGCUUUGUGGAAAGGCAGUGGCCUAAAGAAAAAAAAAGGUGGGACCUAGACUAUCCCACAAAUAGGCAUGUCCAGUUUCCCGGGCCUCCGUGUCCUGAUAUGGAAGCCUGAGAUGGAGAAGAGAGAAGUUAAUUCACACGCACCAUGGAUGCCUCGGGGUAGUAGAGCCGAAUUCUCUUGUGGAAGCACUGCUGAAGAGACUCCAGGAUAAGGCAGGAAACAGAAAAGAAUCCCUACAAUUAUGGACUUCAUACCUGAAGGUAACAAGAAAACACAAGAGACAGUAAAGACAUCAACACAGAGUAUCAAAAAAUCACUGGACGAAAGGGACACUUUUAAGAGUUUCUGCAGAAGCAAAGUACCAGUGCUUCCAUGAAGGGAAUGUGGCUCAGACAGUGGAAACACACAGGCUGCUUUGGACGCUGCCACAGUGAGAGUGAGAGGACAACAGGAAAGUCAGUGGAUGCCGGGACAGCUGGAGGCUGUUAGAUUCGGAAGGUGGAAAGCACAGACUAACCAAAACCCUUCUCCAAACGGAGAACGGUUACCAUCAGAUGUAUGCCUGCUGCAACAGCAGCAGUGACACAUUCCCUAAGAGGCCAGCACUGGGUGACUGAGGAUCUGGACAGGCCACCCACUGUGCCAACACUCUGGAGGCAGCAGACGCAGCGCACCAGGGCAGCUUCCUUAUCAAGGAUAGAAAGGUGACAGUGGGCACAGACUGUUACGGCUAUUUCCUGUCAGGCUACCUGACUCACUGGAGGUGCUGAAUCCCUGGGCCCCAACUGCGGUCGCUUAAUUGUGCUGUCCACUAAAAUGUAAAAAGAGCAUCCUUCAUUCAAGCAAA